rnacentral:SRP_RNA from 1 species
GGGUCUUGCGCAAUACGUGCCAGUGAAUCGUGUCAGGGCGGGAACGCAGCAGCACUAAGCAGGAAUUCGUAUGUGACGUGAGGGCGC